UUGCCGACCGUGAGUGAGGUAGGCAUGGAGAGGAAUUUCAUAUACGUACAAGUUGCAUGCGUCUUUCUGUUCUUGGCAUUCUUAAUAUCGACUCCUGAAGGUCAGCUUCGAUUUCCUUUUCCAAAAGUUCGCGUUUAUGAUAAGCGUUGCACCCACAGUAUGCAAUGCAAAUUUGGCGAGUGUUGCCGAAGAAAGCACAACAAAACGACAUGUCAUCCGAAAGCACGCUACGGCGGACGGAUGCACAGAGAGACCAAUCCGUGGGAUCUAUAAGCAAUAUUGCAAUUGUUAUAUGCUUCAAGGAACGUGUGUUAAUAACAUAUGCAUGUAACCAAGAGUCCGUCGUAAUUACUGUCCCAAUUUCUUAUACAGUGAAAACACCGGUGAGCAUCCAGUUGAGUUGAAAAACCUUUCAUCAUAUUUAUUGAAUAAAGAUUUAGACAUCUAACUU